AACGUAGGAGACAACCGUUAUCCGGAGUUACUGGGCGUAAAGGGCGUGUAGGUGGUAGAGUAAGUCUGGCGUGAAAUUUUUCGGCUUAACCGGGAAAGGUCGUCGGAUACUGCUUAACUAGAGGACGGUAGAGGAGAGUGGAAUUCCUGGUGUAGCGGUGAAAUGCGCAGAUAUCAGGAAGAAUAUCCGUGGCGAAGGCGGCUCUCUGGUACGGCACUGACGCUGAGACGCGAAAGCGUGGGGAGCGAACAGG
rnacentral:rRNA from 1 species